UACAGCCAUAUCACGUGAAAACACCAGUUCCCGUAUGUUCACCAAAGUUAAGCAAUGUCAAGACUGGUCACUACCUAGCUGGGUGACUGCUUGGGAAUAACAAGUGCU